rnacentral:lncRNA from 1 species
UAUAUAUAUAUAUAACGAUAUACAUGCAAAUUUUAAUUUUAGUCAAAAUUAUAUUUAUUUAAAUUAAAAAUAAUUAAAAUUAUAAAAUUAUCAUUUUACCCCUGAAGAGAGUAACAAUAUAACGGAUCUUGCUAGAAACUAAUAUUGAGAAUUUUUUCGAUCUCUCUUGAUCCGACUAUUUCACUCAUUUGCUCAAAAUUAUAACUAUGACUCUUCUCUCCACCAUAGGUAGCCCUUCUCUCCUUUCGUUCGUUAGAGUUUUUGCCACCGAAAUC